GACGAACGCUGGCGGCGUGCCUAAUACAUGCAAGUCGAACGCUUUUUCUUUCACCGGAGCUUGCUCCACCGAAAGAAAAAGAGUGGCGAACGGGUGAGUAACACGUGGGUAACCUGCCCAUCAGAAGGGGAUAACACUUGGAAACAGGUGCUAAUACCGUAUAACACUAUUUUCCGCAUGGAAGAAAGUUGAAAGGCGCUUUUGCGUCACUGAUGGAUGGACCCGCGGUGCAUUAGCUAGUUGGUGAGGUAACGGCUCACCAAGGCAACGAUGCAUAGCCGACCUGAGAGGGUGAUCGGCCACACUGGGACUGAGACACGGCCCAGACUCCUACGGGAGGCAGCAGUAGGGAAUCUUCGGCAAUGGACGAAAGUCUGACCGAGCAACGCCGCGUGAGUGAAGAAGGUUUUCGGAUCGUAAAACUCUGUUGUUAGAGAAGAACAAGGAUGAGAGUAGAACGUUCAUCCCUUG
rnacentral:rRNA from 1 species